CCUACGGGUGGCAGCAGUAGGGAAUUUUCGUCAAUGGGCGCAAGCCUGAACGAGCAAUGCCGCGUGAACGAGGAAGGUCUUCGGAUCGUAAAGUUCUGUUGAAGGGGAAAAAGAGCGGAGAGAGGAAAUGGUCUCCGAUUGAUAUUACCCUUCGAGGAAGUCACGGCUAACUACGUGCCAGCAGCCGCGGUAAUACGUAGGUGGCGAGCGUUAUCCGGAAUGUUUGGGCGUAAAGGGUGCGUAGGCGGCCUGCUAAGUCUGGAGUGAAAGGUACCGGCUCAACCGGUACAGGCUCUGGAAACUGGCGGGCUAGAGAGCAGGUGAGGGUGGUGGAACUCCAUGGGUAGCGGUAAAAUGCGUAGAUAUAUGGAAGAACACCAGUGGCGAAGGCGGCCGCCUGGCCUGUUGACUGACGCUGAGGCACGAAAGCGUGGGGAGCAAAUAGGAUUAGAUACCCGAGUAGUC
rnacentral:rRNA from 1 species